AUCGCUUCUCGGCCUUAUGGCUAAGAUCAAAGUGUAGUAUCUGUUCUUAUCAGCUUAAUAUCUGAUACGUCUCCUACAGGGGACUUCGAUUUAAACUGAUUUUUGGAACUGGGAAGGGCGUCAGGAGCUUGCUCCACUCAAGCCACGGGUUGGCCUGGUAUUGCAGUAUCUCCAGGAUCGGCCCACUCCCU
rnacentral:snRNA from 1 species